CAUAUAACACAGGUUCAACAACCUAUAACUAAUAUAUUUAGAAACCAAGAGUUUCCCUUGAAGAUUACCUAACUUACAAGGCGCGAUCAGUGAGAUGAUGCAGGAGUCAAAGACUGCCUGCCUGGCUUUCGAAAUGGAAGAAUAUUUCCAGUGACUCCUUGACAUUAAUUAGGCACAGGAAGGGAAAUUAAUAUUUAUCUUAGCUUAAAGGAAAACUCGGGAAGUGAAACCUAAUUGUCCACGAACUGAAGGAUUUGAAUGAGAGGCUCUGCCCCACUAGCUCAGUAUUGUCCAGGGCUGCGUCUACUUCAUCUAAAACAAAGAAUGGAGCAGGCCGAAAACUAGAAAAAGAUUACAAUCAAGUUACAACUCUGUUUCACCGAAGCCAUGGAGGAGAGGACUAACAGCAUUCAGGGCAACUCCACAGACUCCGGAUUCACAGGCUCUCCAUUACCCUAACUACUACACAGACCACUGACAGCUCUAUAGACUCAAAUUUGUACCAGAUAACAGAAUUCCAGAGCUGAAGAGAACUUGGAAACCAAAUGAUCUAACCCACUCAUUCUGCAGAUGAAGAACCAGGACCAGGAAGAGUCUGGCUUGUCCUGGCUGGCCAGUGGUGGAGUGAGUAGGAUCUAGAACAUGGGUCACUGUGACAACCAGUCUUCACGAGUUGACUUUGCCCCGUUAAGUGAGUUGCUCAAACAGUGUGGUGGCAAUUUCCCACCAGGAAAAACCCCCACAACAACACAAAGUUCCCACUCAUACUUGGGGGUGAAAAAUACAUACUUGGGCACUGUGGUUUCUGCAGAGCUUCUUGUAGAUCUGAUCAAUUGAGACUGAGACGUGCUCAAAACACUGGCUGAAAAGAUCGUAUCUCCUUUUUUUCACCUGUUCAAACUCUUGCCUACAUAUUCUGGCUUCCUUUCUGCUGGCCUCAAAAGCUAAGAGAGAAUCAAUGUUCUUUAUUUUGGAGAACACCAAGGGUUUUCUCAACUUUAAAGCAUAAAAUA